GGAACCAAAGUGAGGGCAAACUCUUGAAGUUCUAGCAUGGGCCUGCUAUCUCAUGUUAGGUCCACAUUUGUGGGAAAAUGUUCCAAAGGAAACUUUGGCAUGUCAAGAUUCCUGCAGUCGAAUGAUUUUCAGCGCAAGUUGAUUUUAUCCAGCGGUAAAGAAUAUGAGCAUUUUAGCAAGAGGUCUUAUUCUUCCCCUUCUAUGACGCCUGGAACUGAGAGUACGACUGCAAUUACUAAAUUUAAGAUGCCAAAUAUAGGGAGUGAAGGCUUUGCCUUUUCAUCAUUUUUAUCAACUGUCAACAGAAAUUCAAGUAUGAUUAAUUUCAGUAGUUGCUUCAAAACCCCUGUGAAACCUGAACAGGUUGCUGCAAAUCCUGUCAUCAAUAAAAUGACUACUGGGAUGGAGAGGAUACCAAGGGCUUUAAGGUUUGUGUUCUUUCAUUACCAUUUAAAUGUUUAUAUAUAUGUUACAUACAAUUUUAAUAGACUAGUGUAGUUUGCAACAUCCUUUUUGCCACUAAAAAGAGUGACAAUGAGAGGUUUAAAACGGGAUUGACUUUCAAAUUGUGUCAUAACAAAGUGCAAGAAGACGAGACAUAAGGUGGGUAUUUGGUUAAGCUAAACUUUUAUAAACCUAGGAUGUUUUUUAUACAUAGAGAUAAAAGUACAGCAAAUACGCUUGAGUUAUGAAAUUUUUUACUGAAAUAUUCAAUCUUAAUACUCUAGCAUUUAGGGAAAUAUACACAUUUAUGUUAUCUUCCUGUUCUUGAAAUCACACAUUGGAUUUGUCUCUUCCUAAUAUCAGUAGUGUAGGAUAGUAUUCGUUUCUAGAGUGAAUACCUUAAAUGUGUCCAAGGUAUGGGAUAAAAGAAAGAUGUCAUAGUGGAUUUUUCUAAGUCUCCACAUCACCUUUAAAUUUGAUUUUUUAAUUGUCUCAGACUGUAUAACAUAAGAUAGACUAGAACAAGAGUUCAUAUCUUGUAAUGAUGAAGAAAUAUUAAAAUAUAACGUGGUAAGAGUUAGGAAAAACUAAAGUUUUUAUUGAGAUGAUCUGAUUAUCAUAACUUGUAAUGAUUAAUUCUUGAUUUUUUUUAGAGAAAACGAUUGAUCAUUUUCGGUAAUCAUAUAUUCCAAGUGUUGUCUUUAUUAUGAAUAGAUGGAUGUGUGGAGGCUUCCCUGCGAUAUCCUUUUGUGAUGCACCAGAACCGUGGCAACUAGGAUUUCAAGAUGCGGCAACACCUAUAAUGCAAGGAAUAAUGGACUUACAUCACGACAUCUUUUUCUUCCUUGUUCAAAUUGCGGUUUUUGUUUUGUGGGUCUUGUCUCGUGCUUUAUGGUGUUUCAGGUCUAAAAUUAGUCCAAUCCCACAAAGGAUUGUUCAUGGAACCACCAUUGAGAUUCUCUGGACCAUAUUUCCCAGUAUCAUUCUCAUGUUUAUCGCCAUACCAUCAUUCACUUUGUUAUACUCAAUGGACGAUGUUGUAGUUGAUCCUGCCAUUACUAUCAAAGCUAUUGGGCAUCAAUGGUAUUGGAGUUAUGAGUAUUCAGACUAUAACAAUUCGGAUGAGCAGUCCCUUGCUUUUGACAGUUAUAUGGUUCCAGAAGAUGAUCUAGAAUUGGGUCAACUGCGUUUAUUAGAAGUUGACAAUAGAGUGGUGGUACCCGCCAAAACUCAUCUGCGUGUUCUGAUAACAUCAGCUGAUGUACUUCAUAGCUGGGCUGUACCUUCCUUGGGUGUGAAAUGUGAUGCAGUACCUGGUCGUUUGAAUCAGAUCUCUACUUUUAUACAACGAGAAGGGGUUUAUUAUGGUCAGUGCAGUGAAAUUUGUGGAACUAAUCAUGCUUUUAUGCCUAUUGUUGUGGAAGCUGUUUCUACUAAGGAUUAUGGUUCCUGGGUUUCCAAUCAAAUCCAAUAAUCUUGGUGGAGACAAUGACGACAUUGAUAUGGUGACAGAAGUAGCAGUGACAAGAAUUGCUGAUGGUCAGAUAAGACAAAUAAAACUUAGUAUUUUUCAAUGACUAUUUCGUAUUUGAACCAAAGAAUUGUCUCAGCAACAGAAUUAAGUUUGUCACUGUCUAUUUGCACUUGUUUGUGUGUCCCAUUUUAUUUUGUUAUAAAAUAAUACCUGAAACAGUGUAUUUUUUUUUUUUAUGUGCCAUACUUUUUUUGAGAAAUUAAAUGCAUACAUAUUUAUUUGUUGGGAAGUUUGCGGUGUGAUUUUA
rnacentral:lncRNA from 1 species